GGGGCCUGAGUCCUUCAAGAGCCUGGGGGCGAAGAGACGAGAAGGCGGCUGCAUUUUGCUGAAUGGUGGUGGUGUUUGGGGUUUUUAAAAAUCCUUUCUCCCCGAUUUUCCUUUUUACACUUUUUUUUCUUAAAAAAGAUUUUUUUUUUUUUUUGUCUUUGCUCUUUUAUUCGUUGGAGUGAAUGCUGUCAGUGGCGAAAUAAAAUUAGGAAGGGGCCCUUGCCCGGCUGGCGCCUUCUCUGCGCGCUGACCUGCGGGCGAGGCUUGGGGCAGAGCUCGGCGGAGGGCGGAGGCCGCAAGUGGAGGUGAGGCCGGAGCUGCAGGCUGGCAGGGUUUCCAGCCUGGCAGGAGCUGUGCUCGGCGGUGCUUUUGUGAAUUACAUUAGGCGGAGGACUAGGACCCGCAUCUUUCAUUCACCAGAGUUGAGGACGUCCGCUCUGUGCCAGGCUGCCUGGCCCUGGGGGCUUCUUAGAGUUUUUUUCGUUUUCUGUUUUUGGAGGGUUUUGUUUUUGCUCACCAGGCCAUGCAGAUUGGAUCAAACCAGAAAUAAGGCUCUCUGUCCAGAAAAAGCCUUCACUGAAAGAAAUAACGUGCUUAAGGAAGGAACGUAUAAGUCAGGAAUUGAGCCAAGAAAAGCCUGCGAAGUAAAUAUUUGGCAGGGUCCCAGUCUGAAGGGGAAAGUCUCCCGAGCAGGUACAAAACCUAUCUGGAUCUGGUAGUGGAGGUAGUUUCAUCUCUAUCAAAGCCUGAUAUGAUUCCAUUAAAUGCUGAAUCAUACAAUUAAACUUUUUAAUGAUCCCUUUUCUUAACAAAUACAGUUCUGAACAUUAAUUUCCAUAUAGGUUUUUGGUUUUUUUUUUUAACAAGGAGAGAACAUCUUAGCCAAAUGAAAUGAAUAGUCAUUUCCCUUGAUAGUUAUAUUUUCUUUUUGAGUGAAUACAUCAGUGUUUUGGUUUUUUUACAUAAGUUCUUUUUUGCGCGGGGGGCGGUGCAGGCACCCGCGGCAUAUGGAGGUUCCCAGGCUAGGGGUCGAAUCAGAGCGGUCUGCAACCUACACAACAGCUCUGGGCAAUGCCAGAGCCUUAACCCACUGAGCCAGGCCAGCGAUCGAACCCGCAACCUCAUGGUCCCUAGUUAGAUUCGUUUCUGCUGCACCAGGAAGGGAACUCCUGUACAGAAGUUCUAAGGAUCAUGAUUCAUGGUGCUGUAACACAAAGACCAGACCUGAACUGAGUGAAUUCACAAAGAAAAAUAUUCCUCUGAGGCCAGUUGAUCAGCCAGCUUUUUUUUUUUUUCCAUUUUUUAAAGUUUUAUUGAAGUAUAAUUGAUCUACAUCAGCCAGCUUUUUCACAUCCCAACUUUGCAACACCUUCCAGCCACUUAUUUACAGAAAGGAAUUUCUGCAUAAUAGACCAAGGACCAAAACACUGUGAAG
rnacentral:lncRNA from 1 species